GGGAGCUGGAAGCCUCACCCGCGCGCGGGGUCCUUGCCGCGGCAGGCGCAGCAGCAGCCGAGCAGCGAGAGCAGCAGGCCGAGGAGCAGGGCGAGCAGCGCGCCCGCACCCAUCACGCCCUUUCGCUGACACCCACCAGAGAAGCGGCCCCUGCGCGCUCCCGGCGAGGCCAGGCCCGGGGCGGGAAGCGGGUGGGGACCAGGCGCGACGCACGAAAGCCCCCUGGCCAGCGGCGCCUCGGAACCUCCAGGUCAAGGCUGCAAGCCGGCUUCUGCUCCCCCCGUGAGGCCCUUCUAUGUCCGGCUGUGCGGUCAGCGCCUCCCGAGCGCCGGGCGCAAUCAAAGCCUGCAGCGACGGCGGAGCCGGAUGCUUGAGGCCUGUGAGGCUGCUUCCCGCCCCACAACCCCACCUCUGUGGGGGCAACACCUGAAUGCCUGAAUGUCACAAAUCUCUACCCACCCCAUCCGUGUACCACCUGUGUCUGGUGCCCGCAGGACAGGACCGUCACCAGCCUCGUCUCAGACCCACAGCCCCCCGCCUGUGUCCUGUCGCAGCCACCUUGCACUUGAUGGAACCUCUGGGGUCUGCAGGGACUGCAGCCCUGGCCUGCAAGGUGCUGGCAGAGACAGGAAGUGCUGGGUUCCUACUCCAAACUCACAUUCCCACACCUCACCCUUGGGAGCAGGAGGAUGACACUGGAGAAGUGGCCAUCCUGUCCCACUGGAAGCGACCAUCAGAGUCAACCCUGGGCUUGCCACCUGAAGAUCACAUCCACUCCCCACCCUCCAGUCCCUGGCAACCACCACCUGUUCCCCACGUUGUCGCUUCCAGAGUGUGGCUUGAAUGGGAUCAUGUGGUAUGUCACCUCCGUGACAGGCCGCCCACGUCAAUGUGCAGACCCAGAGCUCCUCUCCGACUCCAAGCGACUGCUCUGCACCGUGUACCUGCCUGUUUGGUGAGCCUCUCGCCCAUGGAAAGACAUCUGACUGGUCUCCAGUUUCUGGCUAUUACCAAUAAAUCUGCUGUAAGUAUGUGUUCAGAGUUUUUG